AUUGAACGCUGGCGACAUGCCUUACACAUGCAAGUCGAACGGCAGCACGGGUGCUUGCACCUGGUGGCGAGUGGCGAACGGGUGAGUAAUACAUCGGAACAUGUCCUGUAGUGGGGGAUAGCCCGGCGAAAGCCGGAUUAAUACCGCAUACGAUCUACGGAUGAAAGCGGGGGACCUUCGGGCCUCGCGCUAUAGGGUUGGCCGAUGGCUGAUUAGCUAGUUGGUGGGGUAAAGGCCUACCAAGGCGACGAUCAGUAGCUGGUCUGAGAGGACGACCAGCCACACUGGGACUGAGACACGGCCCAGACUCCUACGGGAGGCAGCAGUGGGGAAUUUUGGACAAAGGGCGAAAGCCUGAUCCAGCAAUGCCGCGUGUGUGAAGAAGGCCUUCGGGUUGUAAAGCACUUUUGUCCGGAAAGAAAUCCUUGGCCCUAAUACGGUCGGGGGAUGACGGUACCGGAAGAAUAAGCACCGGCUAACUACGUG
rnacentral:rRNA from 1 species